GGGUCAGCGACUUAUAUUCUGUAGCAAGGUUAACCGAAUAGGGGAGCCGAAGGGAAACCGAGUCUUAACUGGGCGUUAAGUUGCAGGGUAUAGACCCGAAACCCGGUGAUCUAGCCAUGGGCAGGUUGAAGGUUGGGUAACACUAACUGGAGGACCGAACCGACUAAUGUUGAAAAAUUAGCGGAUGACUUGUGGCUGGGGGUGAAAGGCCAAUCAAACCGGGAGAUAGCUGGUUCUCCCCGAAAGCUAUUUAGGUAGCGCCUCGUGAAUUCAUCUCCGGGGGUAGAGCACUGUUUCGGCAAGGGGGUCAUCCCGACUUACCAACCCGAUGCAAACUGCGAAUACCGGAGAAUGUUAUCACGGGAGACACACGGCGGGUGCUAACGUCCGUCGUGAAGAGGGAAACAACCCAGACCGCCAGCUAAGGUCCCAAAGUCAUGGUUAAGUGGGAAACGAUGUGGGAAGGCCCAGACAGCCAGGAUGUUGGCUUAGAAGCAGCCAUCAUUUAAAGAAAGCGUAAUAGCUCACUGGUCGAGUCGGCCUGCGCGGAAGAUGUAACGGGGCUAAACCAUGCACCGAAGCUGCGGCAGCGACACUGUGUGUUGUUGGGUAGGGGAGCGUUCUGUAAGCCUGUGAAGGUGUGCUGUGAGGCAUGCUGGAGGUAUCAGAAGUGCGAAUGCUGACAUAAGUAACGAUAAAGCGGGUGAAAAGCCCGCUCGCCGGAAGACCAAGGGUUCCUGUCCAACGUUAAUCGGGGCAGGGUGAGUCGACCCCUAAGGCGAGGCCGAAAGGCGUAGUCGAUGGGAAACAGGUUAAUAUUCCUGUACUUGGUGUUACUGCGAAGGGGGGACGGAGAAGGCUAUGUUGGCCGGGCGACGGUUGUCCCGGUUUAAGCGUGUAGGCUGGUUUUCCAGGCAAAUCCGGAAAAUCAAGGCUGAGGCGUGAUGACGAGGCACUACGGUGCUGAAGCAACAAAUGCCCUGCUUCCAGGAAAAGCCUCUAAGCAUCAGGUAACAUCAAAUCGUACCCCAAACCGACACAGGUGGU
rnacentral:rRNA from 1 species